rnacentral:rRNA from 11 species
CCUUAUUGCAACCCUAGCCUAAACACCCUAAAGACACCAGAUCAUGGGAGAUAAGCAGACUCAACCCUGGUUAGUACUUGGAUAGGAGACCACCAAUGAAUACCAGGCGCUGUAGGCU